ensembl:lncRNA
AUAACACCAUAAAGAUAGUACACAUGGUGUCUGCACUAGAUUCAGGGUCUUCUGAGGCCACAUGAGAGCGUUGCCAUGUGGACUGAUUUUAUGGUGUAUAUGUAACGAGUAUUUAACCCGCCUUGUAGGGGAAAAUGUAUUAGUGCUGCCACGGAAGACUGAAUAAUGAAAAGAUCCUAGUCCCUGCUUCCAGUGCUUUUAAUCUCAUUACACACUAAUUGUAUGUAUGUUGUGUUCUACUUUAUUGGAAUGUACAGACCGACGAGGGUAGGCUUCAGCUUAUGUCACUGGCUUCCUGAAGUAAAAGUAAAAGGUGUGAGAAAAUCAAAUAUAUUCCUCCCUCCUCUGGUCUAAUAAAGUAGCUGAGACGCCCCUACUCCUUGACAGCUCUAAACAAAAAAACAAUGAGGUAUGAAAAUUAAACAAUAUUUAUUAUCUGUGUAUUUUCUUCUUUCUUGUAAUCAAGUGUUAAUUAAGGGUUAAUAAAAUAAAAUAGAGUAAAUAAAAUAAAUAAAAACAUGCAUGGUCUUUGUGUUUUCUUUCAAACCCACUACAACCCAAUCACUUUCAAUGUAAAAACUCUAAACUUUUUACUUGUACAAAGAUAAACCCCACUUCAAAAUGAAAUAAAAAAAACACUUUUGUAAACACCACUUAUGAUGAAUUUUCAGUUUUCAAAAUGAUCAACUUCAAAUGAUCAGACAAUAAUCAAAAAUGAGUCGAAUGCGAAUGAAUCAAACUGAGGUGAAUCAAAAAUGAAAUGAACCAGCAGGGAUGUAUUAAACUGCGAUACACCACUGAGAUGUCAAACUGAGAUGUCGUUGGAUGGCAGGGUAACACAAAAUAGUCUUAAACUCAAAUCUUCUGGAAAAAAAAAACCCCGAUGUUCAGCACCAACUGCAGACAGCAAUUUGCAUCUCACGUGCGAUAACGUGCCGAACACUAAAAUGCGCGUGACCAAACUUCCUGAAACGUUAGUGGAGGAAGAAAAAAAAUAAAAUCUCUUCAAUCGUCACUAAUCAAGCUAAACUUGUACUUUAAAUACACUUACAGUUCUUGUAGCCUUCACAAACAUUACUGCGUCACUCCAGCAGUCCAACGCAAUGCGAUUCGCAGAUCAAAACUCACAAAAAAAAACCUACGAAACGCGGGACACAGCUCACAAAAAUUACUUGAUGUUGUCCUUUAUUCGAUCUAAGCCCCGAUUAACCUUCAUUUAAGUCACUUUAUCGGACGAGCUUCUCAAAUACAACACUCACUUUUUCUGUGCGUCACACAUACAACCGCGUUCUUCUUCUCCUCGCUGACUCACGACGCCGAAAACCAAUCCGCCCGUCAAAAUAAAAGUUCCCCCAAAAUAAUAAUGAUUUUUUUU